GUAGGGAAUAUUGGACAAUGGGGGCAACCCUGAUCCAGCGACGCCGCGUGAGUGAUGAAGGCCUUCGGGUCGUAAAGCUCUGUUGCAGGGGAAGAACACAAUGACGGUACCCUGCUAGAAAGGAUCGGCUAACUUCGUGCCAGCAGCCGCGGUAAGACGAGGGAUCCUAGCGUUGUUCGGAAUUAUUGGGCGUAAAGCGGGUGCAGGUGGCUUGGUAAGUCAGAUGUGAAAGCCUGGGGCUUAACCCCAGAAGUGCAUUUGAUACUGCUGAGCUUGAGUGCUGGAGAGGCUAUUAGAAUUCCUGGUGUAGUGGUGAAAUACGUAGAUAUCAGGAGGAAUACCGGAGGCGAAGGCGGAUAGCUGGGCCAACACUGACGCUGAGACCCGAAAGCGUGGGGAUCAAACAGGAUUAGAAACCCUAGUAGUCC
rnacentral:rRNA from 1 species